UCCAGGAGAGUUACAGUGGAGCCUUC
rnacentral:piRNA from 1 species